GACGAACGCUGGCGGCGUGCCUAAUACAUGCAAGUCGAGCGGACAGAAGGGAGCUUGCUCCCGGAAGUUAGCGGCGGACGGGUGAGUAACACGUGGGCAACCUACCCUGUAGAUCGGGAUAACAUCGAGAAAUCGGUGCUAAUACCGGAUAAUCAUUUGAAGUGCAUGCUUCGAAUGUAAAAGCUGGCCCCGGCUAUCACUACGGGAUGGGCCCGCGGCGCAUUAGCUAGUUGGUAAGGUAAUGGCUUACCAAGGCAACGAUGCGUAGCCGACCAGAGAGGGUGAUCGGCCACACUGGGACUGAGACACGGCCCAGACUCCUACGGGAGGCAGCAGUAGGGAAUCUUCCGCAAUGGACGAAAGUCUGACGGAGCAACGCCGCGUGAGUGAUGAAGGUUUUCGGAUCGUAAAGCUCUGUUGUUAGGGAAGAACAAGUGCCGUUUGAAUAAGGCGGCACCUUGACGGUACCUAACCAGAAAGCCACGGCUAACUACGUGCCAGCAGCCGCCGUAAUAC
rnacentral:rRNA from 1 species